rnacentral:rRNA from 1 species
CGGAACGGGUGAGUAACGCGUGAGGAACCUGCCUCAAAGAGGGGACGAACAGUUGGAAACGACUGCUAAUACCGCAUAAGCCCACGGUGCCGCAUGGCACAGAGGGAAAAGGAGCAAUCCGCUUUGAGAUGGCCUCGCGUCCGAUUAGCUAGUUGGUGAGGUAACGGCCCACCAAGGCGACGAUCGGUAGCCGGACUGAGAGGUUGAACGGCCACAUUGGGACUGAGACACGGCCCAG